GUUUUUUCCCCAGUAUUUGUAGGAGGCCACCAGAGAGACAGGAUUGCAAGGUUUUAAAUAUGCUAGUGUCAUGAAGUCAUGGAUUUUCUACCUGAAACAGAUAGUGCGACUGCCCUGCUAUAGCCAUGUUUGGCCAGUGUAGGAAUUUUGAGAACAGUGAACACUUAAUACUCAGAUGGCAUUUUGCCACCCUGACAAGGACCAUACCUGCCAUUCCAUUGUAGUUCGCCUUGCCCAGAAGUUUUAAAAUUUUUCUUUCAGCCUGGGAUUUCAAGUGUACUACAGCAUCCUCUUCACCUAUACAAGCGUCUGUUGUUUUAAAAGGAAACUGAUUUGUUUAUUUAAGGACAACCUGAGAUUGCAAGAUCACAUGUUCUAAUUUGUGCUUCUGAAAAUGGGGCCCUUGGAACCAUAAGAGCUUCCCCCAUUUCCCUUGGCUUCUCCUCCCUUUGCCUUCACUUACCUCCAGCAGAUGCCAAUGUAGAUCCAUAAUCCUUUCUCUGAAACCUUUGGAGCCAAAUGUGGAUUGGAACUCAAGAUGGAUUGGAACUCAAGACUUUUGAAGGGAAACACAGAACUCCUCUCAUGAAGUGGGAUGAAUAAAGACCACAAGCAGCCUCAUACGUGUUCAGUUCAGGUUCUGCUACCAGAUGACAUUGCCAGAUUUGUGAAUUAAAAACUCAAGAGUUUCAGAGCUCUUUGGAUUUUGAAAUUGUGAACAAAGGAUAGAGAAUCCUUGGUAGCUUCAUCGUUUAAAAAUUGGUUGGCAAAACUACUCUUUCUCAGACUUUACCAGUUUUUCUCAUCCUUGUAACAAAAUCAUAAGUAACAUGAAAAACCAAUUUCCAUGAUCAGUUGCUUUCUGAAUAUUAAUACUUUCAAUGUGGUCAGAAAUGGAAACCCCAGAUAACCCUAGUUUAUUUUUUUAAUGGCAAAACUAAAAUAGAUUCAAACAAACAAACAAACAAACAAACAAACAGACAGACAGACAUUUAGAAGCUAUAUCAUUGAAUCCUGGUGGCUCAAGUUCAGAAAUCUAAACAGCCGCCUUGAACCUAAGGUGAGCCAUUUUGUUAACCCAUGGUCAUCCUAUUAACUCCGUUCUUCAGCCUUCAGACAUCUUUUCCCCCCUCUAAUUGUAAGUUAUAUAGUUUUCAUAGUUGGAUUGGCUGAAUUUCUCUUAGAUUGUCCUUGCUGGGGUUCCUGGGGUUAGGCGGGCUUGCUGAAGAGACCAUAUGGGUAAAUGUUACGUGACCUCACUGUUUUUAUAGGCUGGUGAGGCCCAAGAGACGUUGAGUUCUGUGCAUUUAUUUUCUCAUUAGGUUAGCUACUUACUGUUUUAGGACAGAUUUUCUCCCUGUGUACUUCUCAGAACAUGUGAUAUAGUUGGUGGGUGGUAAAAAAAGAAAAAAAUCUCCUUUCUUUUUAAAAUAGUUCAUAGUAGAAUUUGCUUUGGGGAGGAAUGGGCUUGAAAAUAUCUUUUUUUAAAAAAUUAAAAAAAUGGAUGUUUAUUUACCAUCAAUCUUAUUUCCAUCUUGCUUAAGAGCCCAUGGAAGAACAACUUAAAAUCACUUGGUGGUGGUUCCUACCCCUUCAGUGGCCUGAGUCAGGGGAGCUGCAGACCAUUCUUCCAUGGCAGGUUGAAUGCUGUAGUUUUCAGUCAAAACCUGCUGAAUGGCCACAGGGGCACCUGCUUGCCUUCAGACCAGUCUGCAACCUCUGGUUGAGUAGCAGUGGAGUCAGGAGCUAGGGUAGUCCAUUCACUCUGAAAUUCCUCCUUGGUCACAGUCUUUUCAGCAGCAGCCUGUUCUUCCUUUUCAAUCUCUUCAGGAUCUCUAUGGAAGUAGAAAUCAGGCAUGACCUUGAUGAGUGUUCACAGGAGAUGGUGCCACUUGUGUGCAGAACUUCCCGGGCCAGUCUCCACCACAUCAGACCCACUGAGUGAACUCCCUUGUUGUUGCAUGGGAUGGAGAUGCCCACAGAGCACCGAGGAGAAUCUGUGGAACACAGAGCAAUGGUAGGCAGGUUACCAUAAGAUGUCUCUGUGAAAACUGGUGGUUAGCCCUGGGAUCAGUAACCACCAAAAAACACGGCUCCUGGAAGGCUGCCUGGAUUGGGUUAGUGAAGGUUCCAGGAGUAAAGCAGCUAGCAAUAGGAUUUACUCCAGUGGCAGUAGCAAAUUUGAGCACAACCCACCGGCCAGGAUUCCUGGAGGACAUGACACUGACAUCAGCAGGGUUUUCAAUGGCAACAAUAGAUGAGCUGCCAGCAGAAGCUUCUCCCAGAUCCUCUUCAGACUGAUGAUGUAGAUGCUGUCACUUUUCCUCUGGAAAUCAAGGUUGGUGCCACCUAAGUGAGUUCCUGCUGCAAGGAAUUUAAGGACAUCCUCCUCCUUCAGUUGCAGGACAUCAAGGGCUUUGGACAUUGUAAAAGUUUCCCUUUAAGCUACAGGAAUCUAGAAUACAUCUUGAUGGAGCAUUUGGGAAUGAAAAAUCCUAUCCCCAUGAUAGGACUGAGAAGUCUUAGGGCAGAACAAAUGGAAGGUAGAAUGAUUUUUCAUUUAAAACAAAAUUGCUGAUAGGGGCAGGGGUCAUAUAGGAGAGAGAAUGACUGAGCAAUGUGAGAAAUCAGCAGAGAGACUAUAGAACUAGGUUGACUGUUAUUCAGAUCUAAUUGUUUAUGGGUCAACUGUGCAAACCCUGUAUAUUUCCUAACUUCUCUAAACUUUCUAUAAAACCUGCUACCCAAA